rnacentral:lncRNA from 12 species
GAAAAGAUAAGAGAAAGGCCGAGAGUCAGGCUCCCAUAGAUCCCAAAGACCCCGAAAGGCCCAGAGUCACGCUCCUACCCAUCCCAAGGAAGCAGAGAUAAGGCAGCAAAAACAGAGAAAAAACUAAAAAUAAUAAAUAAACCUGGCUCCCUAGCUCCAAAAUGUUAGGGAAUAUCUUCCUUUGAUGGAUACCAAGAACCUACCAUAUGUCGACCACUCAAGACAGCACCAAGAAUCUCAAGGCCACAAGCUGCCUGGUCAAGUUUUCAAUAACAGAGCAGCCUAAAAAACCUUCAGUGGCAAAACAAAACAAAACCAAACCAAAAAACCUUCAGUGGCAACCCUGUCAGGACCCCUCUCACUCCUGAGAGCUCUGUCUAUAUUCUCACUUAACAAACUUCUAUCGCUGUGCUCGCUUCGGCAGCACAUAUACUUCUAUCGCUUUACUCACUCUCCUUUGUCCGCAAGAUUCACCUUUCGACUCCGUGAGAUAAGAACCUAGCUCUCCCAUAUCAAAAUGACUGGUGUCCUUAUAAGAAGAGGAAAGAGACACAGAUGCACAAAGGGAUGGCCAUGUGGUGACAGAGGCAGACGUUAGGGUGACCCUGCCACAGCCAGGAGCGCCGGGGCCACCAGCAGCUGGAAGAGGCCAGAAGGAUCCUCUCUGAGAGGAAGCACAGCCUUGCUGACAUCUUGAGUUUGGAUUUCAGGUUUCCAGAACCGUGAACCAGUGCAUCUGGGUGGUUUGAAGCCACCCAGGGUGUGGCGCUUCAUUAAGGCAGCCCUGGGCAACUCGCACACUUGGUACGCUGGACAUGACCUGGCCACCAGGGAUGUGCAGCUGGUCUGCUUGGAGAGAAGCAAGGCCACCGUCUCUCACAGACUGUAGAGCAGGACUUCUAGUCAGGCCUCCUGAUGGCAUCGCCCAACCAGAGCCAGCUCCUAACUGGCUUUCUCCCGGCUCCAGGAGAGACGUCAGCUUGUUACAUCCCCUCGCCUCCAUCAGAUUCCAUCACGCCCUCUGAACUGUGAGAUCCAGUCAAGGCCACCAAUCUUAAAUGGAAUCCCAUCAAGACCCGUUACCUGGGACACCUGGGUGACUCAGUGGCUGAGCAUCUGCCUUUGGCUCAGGUCAUGAUCUCAGAGUCCUGAGAUCGAGUCCCACAUCAGGCUCUCUGCAGGGAGUCUUCUUCUCUUUCUGCCUAUGUCUCUACCUCUCUCUGUGUGUCU